UAAUAAGUGUUUUAUGGCACUUUUUAAAUCCAUAUCCACCUUGUGUGCAAUGUCAGUCGAUCUUCUUCAUGGAGACUCGACCAAACAUCAACCUUUAUCUUUUAACUCUUUGUCUUAAAAAUAUUAUGAAUAAACAAUUCAAAAUA
rnacentral:misc_RNA from 1 species